rnacentral:tRNA from 1 species
GGCUCUGUGGCCGAGUGGCUAGGCAAAGCUCUGCAAAAGCUUCUACAGCGGUUCAAAUCCGCUCGGGGCCU